AAGUCGUAACAAGGUUUCCGUAGGUGAACCUGCGGAAGGAUCAUUAUUGAAUGAACUUGGUGUGGUUGUUGCUGGCUCUUUCGAGGGCAUGUGCACGCCCACCAUCCUCAUCUCUCCACCUGUGCACCUCUUGUAGACUUGGAUUGACUUUCCGAGGCAACUCGGUCGGGAGGAUUGCCGGCGCCAGCUGGCUUUCUUUGCAUUUCCAGGUCUACGUUUUUCAUAUACCCCAUUGUAUGUAACAGAAUGUAACAUUGGGCACUUGUGCCUAUAAACUUUAUACAACUUUCAGCAACGGAUCUCUUGGCUCUCGCAUCGAUGAAGAACGCAGCGAAAUGCGAUAAGUAAUGUGAAUUGCAGAAUUCAGUGAAUCAUCGAAUCUUUGAACGCACCUUGCGCUCCUUGGUAUUCCGAGGAGCAUGCCUGUUUGAGUGUCAUUAAAUUCUCAACCUUUAUCAACUUUUGUUGAUAAUGGCUUGGAUAUGGGGGUUUAUUUUGCUGGCUUCUUUACAGAUGGUCAGCUCCCCUUAAAUGCAUUAGCCGGUGCCCCGCGUGGACUGUCUAUUGGUGUGAUAAUUAUCUACGCCGUSGACAUCUGCAAUCAUAUGGGUUUGCACUGCUUCCAACUGUCUGUUGAAUCAGACAAUACAUGACAAUUUGACCUCAAAUCAGGUAGGACUACCCGCUGAACUUAA
rnacentral:rRNA from 1 species